CCUACGGGUGGCAGCAGUGAGGAAUAUUGGUCAAUGGGCGAGAGCCUGAACCAGCCAAGUCGCGUGAGGGAGUACUGCCCUAUGGGUUGUAAACCUCUUUUGUCGGGGAGCAAAAGCCGGACGUGUCCGGCUGUGAGAGUACCCGAAGAAAAAGCAUCGGCUAACUCCGUGCCAGCAGCCGCGGUAAUACGGAGGAUGCGAGCGUUAUCCGGAUUUAUUGGGUUUAAAGGGUGCGCAGGCGGAUUUUUAAGUCAGCGGUCAAAUCGUGGGGCUCAACCCCAUCCAGCCGUUGAAACUGGGGAUCUAGAGUGUGCGAGAGGUAUGCGGAAUGCGUGGUGUAGCGGUGAAAUGCAUAGAUAUCACGCAGAACCCCGAUUGCGAAGGCGGCCGCCUGGCCUGUUGCUGACGCUGAGGCACGAAAGCGUGGGGAGCAAAUAGGAUUAGAUACCCGAGUAGUC
rnacentral:rRNA from 1 species